rnacentral:tRNA from 1 species
GGGCGCUUAGCUCAGCGGGAGAGCACUACCUUCACACGGUAGGGGUCACACGUUCAAUCCGUGUAGCGCCCACCA